rnacentral:rRNA from 1 species
UACAGAGGUCUCAAGCGUUGUUCGGAUUCAUUGGGCGUAAAGGGUGCGUAGGUGGUUGGGUAAGUCAAAUGUGAAAUCCCGGAGCUCAACUCCGGAACUGCAUUCGAUACUGCCCGGCUCGAGGAUUGGAGAGGAGACUGGAAUUCACGGUGUAGCAGUGAAAUGCGUAGAGAUCGUGAGGAACACCCGUGGCGAAGGCGGGUCUCUGGACAAUUCCUGACACUGAGGCACGAAGGCCAUGCGAGCAAACGGG